rnacentral:rRNA from 1 species
GAUGAACGCUGGCGGCGUGCCUAAUACAUGCAAGUCGAGCGAACAGAUAAGGAGCUUGCUCCUUUGACGUUAGCGGCGGACGGGUGAGUAACACGUGGGUAACCUACCUAUAAGACUGGGAUAACUUCGGGAAACCGGAGCUAAUACCGGAUAACAUUUGGAACCGCAUGGUUCUAAAGUGAAAGAUGGUUUUGCUAUCACUUAUAGAUGGACCCGCGCCGUAUUAGCUAGUUGGUAAGGUAACGGCUUACCAAGGCAACGAUACGUAGCCGACCUGAGAGGGUGAUCGGCCACACUGGAACUGAGACACGGUCCAGACUCCUACGGGAGGCAGCAGUAGGGAAUCUUCCGCAAUGGGCGAAAUCCUGACGGAGCAACGCCGCGUGAGUGAUGAAGGGUUUCGGCUCGUAAAACUCUGUUAUUAGGGAAGAACAAACGUGUAAGUAACUGUGCACGUCUUGACGGUACCUAAUCAGAAAGCCACGGCUAACUACGUG